rnacentral:rRNA from 1 species
CGCCUGCCCUGUGACAAAGGUUUAACGGCCGCGGUAUUUUGACCGUGCAAAGGUAGCGCAAUCACUUGUCCUUUAAAUGAAGACCUGUAUGAAUGGCAUCACGAGGGCUUAACUGUCUCCUUUUUCCAGUCAAUGAAAUUGAUCCCCCCGUGCAGAAGCGGGGAUAAGACCAUAAGACGAGAAGACCCUAUGAAGCUUUAGACGCAAAGCAGAUCUUGUUAAACACUUCAAAAUAAAGAAACAAACUAAAAGAAUGCUGUCCUGAUGUCUUUGGUUGGGGCGACCACGGGGAAACGAAAAACCCCCAUGCGGACUGAGAAAACAAUUCUCACAACCAAGAGCCACAGCUCCAGUUAACAGAAUUUCUGACCUUUAGAUCCGGCAGUGCCGAUCAACGGACCGAGUUACUCUAGGGAUAACAGCGCAAUCCUCUUCUAGAGUUCCUAUCGACAAGGGGGUUUACGACCUCGAUGUUGGAUCAGGACAUCCUAAUGGUGCAGCAGCUAUUAAGGGUUCGUUUGUUCAACGAUUAAAGUCCU